rnacentral:rRNA from 1 species
UGUAAGCGUAUACCAAAGUUGUUGCAGUUAAAACGCUCGUAGUCGGAAUUUGGCAGUUCCGGAUGUGUGCACGUCGUGUGCGCACUUCGCGGGGAUUGCUUUUGUGGUCUUGCGUAGGAUGAGGCACUUUUAUUAGUGAACGUCCUCACGCAACCACUUUUUACUGUGAGAAAAUCAGAGUGCUCAAAGCAGGCAUUUGCCGUGAAUGUAUUAGCAUGGAAUAAUAGAAUAGGACUUGGUUCUAUUUUGUUGGUUUGUUGGGACUGAGUAAUAAUUAAGAGGGACAGUUGGGGGCAUUUGUAUUUCGGUGCUAGAGGUGAAAUUCUUAGAUUACCGAAAGACAAACUGCUGCGAAAGCGUCUGCCGAGGAUGUUUUCAUUGA